UACGUAGGGUGCAAGCGUUAAUCGGAAUUACUGGGCGUAAAGCGUGCGCAGGCGGCCAUGCAAGACAGAUGUGAAAUCCCCGGGCUUAACCUGGGAACUGCAUUUGUGACUGCAUGGCUAGAGUACGGUAGAGGGGGAUGGAAUUCCGCGUGUAGCAGUGAAAUGCGUAGAUAUGCGGAGGAACACCGAUGGCGAAGGCAAUCCCCUGGACCUGUACUGACGCUCAUGCACGAAAGCGUGGGGAGCAAACAGG
rnacentral:rRNA from 1 species